rnacentral:rRNA from 1 species
GUUCUUUGAAAAGUAGAUAAACAUGCUUUAAAAUUUUCAUAAAGUUGAAGGAAGUAAGGGCAUAUAGUGGAUGCCUUGGCACUAAGAGCCGAUGAAGGACGCAAUUAACGGCGA